CCUACGGGGGGCAGCAGUGGGGGAUAUUGCACAAUGGGGGGAACCCUGAUGCAGCGACGCCGCGUGGGUGAAGGAGUGCUUCGGCAUGUAAAGCCCUAUCGGCAGGGAAGAAGCAAGACGGUACCUGACUAAGAAGCCCCGGCUAACUACGUGCCAGCAGCCGCGGUAAUACGUAGGGGGCGAGCGUUAUCCGGAUUCACUGGGUGUAAAGGGAGCGUAGACGGCCAAGCAAGCCAGGGGUGAAAGCCCGGGGCCCAACCCCGGGACUGCCCUUGGAACUGCAUGGCUGGAGUGCGGGAGGGGCAGGCGGAAUUCCUGGUGUAGCGGUGAAAUGCGUAGAUAUCAGGAGGAACACCGGCGGCGAAGGCGGCCUGCUGGACCGCGACUGACGUUGAGGCUCGAAAGUGUGGGGAGCAAACAGGAUUAGAUACCCUGGUAGUC
rnacentral:rRNA from 1 species